rnacentral:rRNA from 1 species
GACCCUAUGAACCUUUACUGUAGCUUUGUAUUGGAUUUUGAACGGAUCUGUGUAGGAUAGGUGGGAGGCUUUGAAGUGAGGACGCUAGUUCUCAUGGAGCCGACGUUGAAAUACCACCCUGGUGCGUUUGAGGUUCUAACCCAGGUCCCUUAUCGGGAUCGGGGACAGUGCAUGGUAGGCAGUUUGACUGGGGCGGUCUCCUCCCAAAGCGUAACGGAGGAGUUCGAAGGUACGCUAGUUACGGUCGGACAUCGUGACGAUAGUGCAGUGGCAUAAGCGUGCUUAACUGCGAGACUGACAAGUCGAGCAGAUGCGAAAGCAGGACAUAGUGAUCCGGUGGUUCUGUAUGGAAGGGCCAUCGCUCAACGGAUAAAAGGUACUCUAGGGAUA